rnacentral:rRNA from 1 species
AAUGAACGCUGGCGGCAGGCCUAACACAUGCAAGUCGAGCGAGGACUUCGGUCCUAGCGGCGGACGGGUGAGUAACGCGUGGGAAUAUGCCCUUUGGUACGGAAUAGCCUCGGGAAACUGGGAGUAAUACCGUAUGUGCCCUUCGGGGGAAAGGAUUUAUCGCCAAAGGAUUAGCCCGCGUUGGAUUAGGUAGUUGGUGGGGUAAUGGCCUACCAAGCCGACGAUCCAUAGCUGGUUUGAGAGGAUGAUCAGCCACACUGGGACUGAGACACGGCCCAGACUCCUACGGGAGGCAGCAGUGGGGAAUCUUAGACAAUGGGCGCAAGCCUGAUCUAGCCAUGCCGCGUGAUCGAUGAAGGCCUUAGGGUUGUAAAGCUCUUUCAGCUGGGAAGAUAAUGACGGUACCAGCAGAAGAAGCCCCGGCUAACUCCGUG